rnacentral:rRNA from 1 species
AUUGAACGCUGGCGGCAUGCUUUACACAUGCAAGUCGAACGGUAACAGGUUAAGCUGACGAGUGGCGAACGGGUGAGUAAUGCAUCGGAACGUGCCCGGUCGUGGGGGAUAACGCAGCGAAAGCUGCGCUAAUACCGCAUACGAUCUGAGGAUGAAAGCGGGGGACCGUAAGGCCUCGCGCGAUCGGAGCGGCCGAUGUCAGAUGAGGUAGUUGGUGGGGUAAAGGCUCACCAAGCCGACGAUCUGGAGCUGGUCUGAGAGGACGACCAGCCACACUGGGACUGAGACACGGCCCAGACUCCUACGGGAGGCAGCAGUGGGGAAUUUUGGACAAUGGGCGCAAGCCUGAUCCAGCAAUGCCGCGUGGAGGAAGAAGGCCUUCGGGUUGUAAACUGCUUUUGUACGGAGCGAAAAGGUCUUGCCUAAUACGGGAGGCUGAUGACGGUACCGUAAGAAUAAGCACCGGCUAACUACGUGCCAGCAGCCGCGGUAAUAC